GAUGAACGCUAGCGGCAGGCUUAACACAUGCAAGUCGAGGGGCAGCAGGGGUAGCAAUACUCGCUGGCGACCGGCAAACGGGUGCGGAACACGUACGCAAUCUACCUUUAUCCGGGGGAUAGCCCAGUGAAAACUGGAUUAACACCCCAUAACAUAACAGAGUGCAUCACUCAAUUAUUAAAAAUUAUUGGAUAGAGAUGAGCGUGCGUCCCAUUAGC
rnacentral:rRNA from 1 species